rnacentral:rRNA from 1 species
UUAAAUUGAAGAGUUUGAUCAUGGCUCAGAUUGAACGCUGGCGGCAGGCCUAACACAUGCAAGUCGAACGGUAACAGGAAGUAGCUUGCUGCUUUUCUGACGAGUGGCGGACGGGUGAGUAAUGUCUGGGAAACUGCCUGCUGGAGGGGGAUAACUACUGGAAACGGUGGCUAAUACCGCAUAACGUCGCAAGACCA